UAAACAUUUUCUAGAUUUUUUCAGUCCGAAAUUUUCUCUUCGCAAAAGUGUUUUCAUUUGACGUAAUUUGGGAAUUAUAUUUGAUUUAACAGCUUAAAAAGAGGCACACGACUAAAAAUAAAUUCCUUUAUUAAAUGUAUUUUUUGUUUAAACAUUUUGUGUUUAUAUAUCGAAUAAUAAUUUUGGGGAGAGUUGGUGUUUUUUUUGUUGUGUUAAGCAGUUUCGUUAAAAGAGUUAAAUGCGUCUUUAAAAAGCGCUUAAAAUUUAAAAAAAAAUGAAAAAAAUUAAACAUUAAUUGAAAUUAUUUUUGAACUGUUGCGCCGAACACACCUUUAAAAAUACACACAAGUAAAAUAGAAAAAUAAAAGAAAAAAAAAACGAUAAAGCCCAAGUUAUUUUAGUCGCGCAAAGUAAAAUACGAAAUAAAAGAUAAGAAAAAAAAAUAUAAAAAGCAACAACAAAAUCAACUCAAUAAGCUAGACAGCAGACAGAAUAUAAUACGAACCUCAAAACUAAAAAAUCUGAAAUAUCGCUGGGAAUAAAUUCUAACGUAAAAAAAUAUAUGUAUUUUAAUAAUAAUUUUCAGGAAAUUACGCCUAUUUUAAUUAAUAUUUAACGAAAUGAGAUUAUUGAAUAAGAAAUGACAAGUUAGUCACAAUGAGAAUUCAAUCCAUUGAAUAAGAGAGAGAGAGAGAGAGAGUAAUUUUUAUGCUAGUCGAGUUCACAUGUGCAUAAGUGUCUGUGCGCGCGCUAGCGUGUGUGUUUGCCAGAGCAAGGUGAAUUGCAUAAACUGAGAUAAAGAAAAAAAAAAGAGCAGCAUUAAUGAAAAAACUGCGGCAAUUUACUUUCUUAGCUUUUAAUUCAUUUCCAUUUCUAAAGUAAAGAAAAGUUUAUAUUUUUUUAUUUGUCUCCGUGCUUAUUUGUUUGAUUUACAUUUUUAUAAUUCGAAAAAGUGUUUUAAACGCGAUUAUUUUAACGGUGUGUAAUUAAGUAUCCCUUAAACAAUAAAAAAAAAGCGUUAUCUUAUUAAAUUCCUGUUUCGAUUAGUGUAAGGAAAAAUAUUUA